UGCAGGCAGCUUCACGUGGGUGCCGACUACUUUGGCGGGUCUAAUCGAGCCGUAGUAAAUAAAUUUGAUACUCUUUGAGUUAGUUAGGUGUAUAUUUUUUUAAAGAGAGAGAGAGAAUUCAAUUUUAUGAAUAAUUUAAAUACAGCUACUGAUGGGACCCAUACACAACAAAUAGAAUCGAAUUGGCGCCGGGCAAAGCAUUGGUUGAGGGAGAGGAAUCGUUUACAGGACGACGAAUUUGCUCAUCGUUUAUGAGAAUUUCUGUGGCGACGGUUUUGCCGUCAUAAUAAAAUAGAUCUGAUGAGAUCUAUGAUGGAGGCGAUUCGGCGACAAUAUGUUUUUCAUUAAGACACGUGCAAGACGAACGAAGCUUCGAAGAGGAAUACUCUACUGCGUCACAAGCGACGUGUCUGAUUGGUCGAAAUGAAAGGAUGCCGAAUGAAACAACCAAUCACAGCCAUUGGUAGAAGUUUCGAAACUGUAAUGUUAAUCGUAAUAGAAUCGUUCAUACAAUAAAUAUCAGCGAAAAAA